GACGAACGCUGGCGGCGUGCUUAAUACAUGCAAGUCGAGCGAGGUUACUGUUUCGGAUCCCUUCGGGGUGAAGAAGCUUUAACCUAGCGGCGGACGGGUGAGUAACGCGUGGGUAACCUACCCCAAAGUCCGGGAUAACAGCGGGAAACCGCUGCUAAUACCGGAUGCCUUUACCUUGGGGCAUCUUGAGGUAAAGAAAGGUAACGCUUUGGGAUGGGCCCGCGUCCCAUUAGCUAGUUGGUGAGGUAACGGCUCACCAAGGCGACGAUGGGGUAGCCGGCCUGAGAGGGUGGACGGCCACACUGGGACUGAGACACGGCCCAGACUCCUACGGGAGGCAGCAGUAGGGAAUAUUGCGCAAAUGGACGGAAGUCUGACGCAGCGACGCCGCGUGAGCGAUGAAGGUCUUCGGAUCGUAAAGCUCUGUCCUUGGGGAAGAAGGUCUUCGGACUUGACGGUACCCAAGAAGAAAGCCCCGGUAACUACGUG
rnacentral:rRNA from 1 species